GCCAGGCAUGGUGAUGUAUGCCUGUAAUCCCAGUUACUAAGGAGGCUGAGACAGGAGGAUCACAAGUUCAAGGUCAGCAUGAGCUUGUCUCAA
rnacentral:sRNA from 1 species